UAAAUACUCUCUCCGUCCGAAAAAACUUCCUAAGCUUGUUUCUUAAAUGAAUGUAUCUAACACUAACUUGGUGUUAGAUACAUCCAUUUGAGGGACAAAUUUUUUCGGACGGAGUGAGUAAUAG
rfam:Triticum urartu cultivar G1812 contig408219, whole genome shotgun sequence.